rnacentral:rRNA from 1 species
UACGGAGGGAGCUAGCGUUAUUCGGAAUUACUGGGCGUAAAGCGCACGUAGGCGGCUUUGUAAGUUAGAGGGUGAAAGCCUGGAGCUCAACUCCAGAACUGCCUUUAAGACUGCAUCGCUUGAAUCCAGGAGAGGUGAGUGGAAUUCCGAGUGUAGAGGUGAAAUUCGUAGAUAUUCGGAAGAACACCAGUGGCGAAAGGCGGCUCACUGGACUGGUAUUACGCUGAGGUGCGAAAGCGUGGGGAGCAAACAG